UUUUCUCCUCUCGUAACGUUAAAAAACUAGGCAAGUCAAUACAAAUAGUGCAAUACCAGUACCAAAGUAUAGCAUCACGAGAGUGAGACCAUUCAAACACACUACAUGCUUAUAUACAAUUUCAAUUCAAGCACAGUGCAAAAAUAGUAAAACAUGCAAAUGUACUAUAUAAUAAUAAUGGAAAAUAGCAAAUCUUUUAUUUAGCCGGAGAUAGCGGUACAUCAUGAGCACUCUGGCAAUAACUAACUCAUCACAAACAUGUGACGAUUACGACAAGACAUCAUGCACACACACAACGAAAUCCUUACGCACGCAGGUAACAGUGCGUGCUUGUACGUAGAACCUGGAGAAGUAGUACGUAGUUUCUCCGCAAUCGAAAUCCAGCCACACAUAAAAACCAGCAGAUAAUUACGUAAUCAAAGCGCACAAUUAAGUACGUGGUGGUACUUCAAAUAGCCAAUCAUGCAUGCAUGCAUGCAUGAGGUAUGGCGGAUGCAGCAUGCAAGGUCCGGCCGGGCUCAGUUGGGGCACUGGAAGCCGGAGGGGACGUUCUUGCCGCAGUUGUUGAGGACGAGGCUGAGGGCGAUGGACAAGGUCAGGUUGAUGCCCAGGAGGUUGAGGUUCAGCGUCGUGCACAGGCACAGCGCCGCCUCCAGGUCCGCCAGCCCCUGGAUCAGCGAGCAGCACGGCUGC
rnacentral:lncRNA from 1 species